GUUUAGAAUAAGGCCUGGCAAGUGGGACCAAGAUCCCAGGGGCACCACGGCUGCAUUUCAGCAAGUCCUUUGACAAAGACGUGAUGUUCCUGUGGAAACAAAAAUGAAGACCAGUGAGAAGGAUCUCUGAAGAACCACAGGGAUUGUGGCUGGUUGGACAACGGUUGCCAGCGUGCUGAUGACAGGGUGUUACAGAGCUCAGUGGAUUCCUCUGGGCCUAUUGAAGGACCAUCAUCUUGACUUCCGGUGUUCAUAUUUUAUCUACAAAAGAGGAGCUGGAAAGCCAAGUUGCAUCUAUCAAGGGGAAAUGCAUCCAUGUUGGUCAGCCUGCAGCCCCAGCAGAGCAAAGAACACCCCCAGGUGGGUCAGCCUCCAGCAACCAGCUCAGCAAACAUUUGGGGCUCUCCUGUUCUCCACCAGAACAGCAAGUCUCCACACCUGAACUUCUGAUGGUGUUAAUUUCUUCACUGAAUUGUGAUGAAGAACUGUUACUGUGGAACCAUUCUGACCUCCAGCCGGGGGGCCGCUGCGGGAAGUGUCCGGAGGUGCAUCAGGAGAACUAGUGCAUUCAAAACAUUCCCAGAAGACGGUGAACAGGUUUUUAGGGGAAAUUAGGUUUCCAAUGCAAAAAUGUAAAGAUUUGAAUAAAAUAAAUACAUAAAUAAAUUUGAGAUAAGU